AGCAGCCGCGGUAAUUCCAGCUCCAAUAGCGUAUAUUAAAGUUGUUGCAGUUAAAAAGCUCGUAGUUGAAUUUUAGGCCUGGCCAGGCGGUCCGUCUUUGGCGAGUACUGUCUUGUUGUCGGGUCUUCCUUCUGGUGAACCAGUAUGCCCUUUAUUGGGUGUGUUGGGGAGCCAGGACCAUUACCUUGAAAAAAUUAGAGUGUUUAAAGCGGGCUAUUGCUUGAAUAGAUUAGCAUGGAAUAAUAGAAUAGGACGUUGUGGUUCUAUUUUGUUGGUUUCUAGGACCACCGUAAUGAUUAAUAGGGAUAGUUGGGGGCAUUAGUAUUCAAUUGUCAGAGGUGAAAUUCUUGGAUUUAUUGAAGACUAACUAUUGCGAAAGCAUUUGCCAAGGAUGUUUUCAUUAAUCAAGAACGAAAGUUAGGGGAUCGAAGACGAUCAGAUACCGUCGUAGUCUUAACCAUAAACUAUGCCGACUAGGAAUCGGGCGACGUUAUUUUCAUGACUCGCUCGGCGCCUUAUG
rnacentral:rRNA from 1 species